GAAUCCAUGAUAUCUCGGCCUAUAACAAAAUCGGACUAUAACAAACUCGGCCUCCCAAAAUCGGACUAUAACAAACUCGGACUAUACCAAACUCGGACUACUAGAAGAAUAUAAGUAUAAUGUUGGUUGUUGUUGUUAUUGGAAAUUUAUUUUCAAUUCUUAAUUUAAAAUGAAUUUUUAUAUUCAAUUUAUUAAAUAAUUUAUUUUUGAACAUUUUUGAAGGGGAUAAAAAAAAUACGUUAACAAGAUAUAUUUAAAAAUAAAAACACAAAAAAAAAUCAUAUAUUGAAAAUUUACCACUGAUUUGUUUUUGUAGUAUUAAUUGUAAUAAUGUCCCUCUCAGAAUAAAUUGUUAUUAUAUGCAUAUCUUAAUUGAUUAUGACAUCAUGCCACGUGUAUAGUUGACACCUUUUUAAUCACCAUAGGUUAAACAAACAACUGGCACAUGUACUGUUGACACCUAUCUAAUCACCCAAGUACCUGUUAUUACACGAAAUUAGGAACUAAAUAUCCAAUUAAAUGUGCCUUGUCUUGUAUUGGCUAUAACUGGACUUCAGUUUUUUUGGGUUUUUUUAUUAUUACAAAUCUUGUGUUAAUUAUUGUAAGACAAUUCAGUGAAUUGUAGCAUUUCUGGUUUCUGAUCAUAUUUUGUAUGGUGGUCUCUUGGUGUGAUUUAUCUGUACAAUGUAAUACUAUUUUUAAGAAUAAAGAAAACAUAGGGUUUACAUAUUUUAUUUCAGUAGAUGUUCAUGUCAACAAACAAUUAAAACAUAACAAUGAUUUCGUCAUUCAAUAAUCUCUAAUAUUUCUUACGAAAAAUAUGAGGCAUAUAUAAAACACAAGCACAUUUUAAAGUCAAAGGUAUUUUGUCAUCAUCUAUAGGACUGAAAGCAUGCAGAUAUAAAUGUUCAUUGUCAAAGCACACUUAAAGCAUACAUAGCACAUUUAAAACCCACAUAGCACAUACAAAACAUACAAAACA
rnacentral:lncRNA from 1 species